AUGGACGGCGAUAGGCGGUCUCCGGCGGCGGCCGCGGCGGCAUCGGCGGCAUCGGUGCUUGACGACGACGACCUGCUCCGCGAGAUCCUCCUCCGCCUCGGCUUCCCCACCUGCCUCGUUCACGCCGCCCUCGUCUCCAAGCGGUGGCUCCUCCACGCCUCCGACCCGGUCUUCCUCCGCCGCUUCCGCGAGCGCAACCCGCCCCGCCUCCUCGGCUUCUGCAUCCGCGGCCUCGACGGGUAUUCUUUCGUGCCGCUGCCACAGCCCCCGGAGCUCGCCGUCCCCAUACACCGGGUGACCUCCUCCUGCGCAGCCGCCUUCUCCAACAUCAUCCAUCUGAUCAAGCACUGCCGGAACGGCCGCCUCAUCACCGAGUCCUUCCACCACAAGGGAACAGACAGGCAUGCCCUCCUUGCGCCGCUGCUCGCCGGGGAAUCCGCAGCCUUCCCCCCGCCCAACCCGCCACCCUCCCGUGAUUGGGACGGGCGCGCUCAAGUCAGAUACAUUGAGGUGUUCCUACCCGAGGAUGGGGGCCUCGACGGCAUCACCUUGGUGCAUCUCUGGAAUGUCGGUCGGAAAAUCUAUGCGGAGGUGUGCGUCCUGGGGUCCGACGGAUGGGGCGUCCCUGCCAGCGCAGAGAUGGAGCUCCCUGCUCACAUGGAGCUCGCUGCUCAGAGGUAUGACGAACGCUUCCUUGCUGAUAUGCUACCACCCGUCCUUGGCAAGGUCUUCAUGGUGACCACCUCUGGGGGGUUCACCCUGGGUCUAGAUUUGGCAACGGCGAGCUUUUUCACCCUUGAGCUCCCAGUUGGAGUGCAGAGCAACUAUAAGCUCUCAUGUGCGGAGGAUUCCGGGCUCUAUCUUGUCAGUGCAGACGGGUUUCAGCUCAGUGUGUGGCUCCAUCCAAUGAUCGGCGACGACGAUGGUGCAGGCAAUUGGCGGCUGGUGGACACAUUUUGUGUCCAUGAGACAUGCACACGUCUUGUGGAUCAUUAUUGGGUGCCUCUUUAUAAUUUUAUUGCUGUUGAUUUUGUCGGGGACAAUGCCGACUUUGCAAUCUUGGAUCAUCCAGCAAGCGACAUUCUCUUUUAUGUUCAUCUCAGGAGCAGGGUGGUUGAGAAGGUGUAUCAGAGGCCGACACGUUUCCUUACAGUUCUGGCUGCUGGCGGCUUACAUAUCUCUCCUGUUAUGAUGACCUGGCCACCUAUCUUCCCGGCACUGAACAUUUGA
rnacentral:rRNA from 1 species